UACAGAGGUCUCAAGCGUUGUUCGGAUUCAUUGGGCGUAAAGGGUGCGUAGGCGGCGCGGUAAGUCGGGUGUGAAAUCUCGGGGCUUAACUCCGAAACUGCAUUCGAUACUGCCGUGCUUGAGGACUGGAGAGGAGACUGGAAUUUACGGUGUAGCGGUGAAAUGCGUAGAUAUCGUAAGGAAGACCAGUGGCGAAGGCGGCUGACUGGACACAUAUUGACGCUGAGGCUCGAAAGCAUGGGGAGCAAACAGG
rnacentral:rRNA from 1 species